rnacentral:rRNA from 1 species
GACGGAGGAUACAAGUGUUAUCCGGAAUCACUGGGCGUAAAGCGUCUGUAGGUGGUUUAAUAAGUCAACUGUUAAAUCUUGAGGCUCAACCUCAAAAUCGCAGUCGAAACUAUUAGGCUAGAGUAUGGUAGGGGUAAAGGGAAUUUCCAGUGGAGCGGUGAAAUGCGUAGAGAUUGGAAAGAACACCGAUGGCGAAGGCACUUUACUGGGCUAUUACUAACACUCAGAGACGAAAGCUAGGGUAGCAAAUGGG